rnacentral:rRNA from 1 species
AACGAACGCUGGCGGCAGGCCCAACACAUGCAAGUCGAGCGAAGCCUUCGGGCUUAGCGGCGGACGGGUGAGUAACGCGUGGGAACGUGCCCUUUGGUACGGAAUAGCCCCGGGAAACUGGGAGUAAUACCGUAUGUGGUCGAGAGACGAAAGAUUUAUCGCCAAAGGAUCGGCCCGCGUUGGAUUAGGUAGUUGGUGGGGUAAUGGCCUACCAAGCCGACGAUCCAUAGCUGGUUUGAGAGGAUGAUCAGCCACACUGGGACUGAGACACGGCCCAGACUCCUACGGGAGGCAGCAGUGGGGAAUCUUAGACAAUGGGGGCAAGCCUGAUCCAGCCAUGCCGCGUGAGUGACGAAGGUCUUCGGAUUGUAAAGCUCUUUUGCCAGGGACGAUAAUGACGGUACCUGGAGAAUAAGCCCCGGCUAACUUCGUGCCAGCAGCCGCCGUAAUAC